ensembl:Mt_tRNA
CAGAAGGUAGUUUAGUAGAGAAUAUCAGCUUUGGGAGCUGGAGGCGGAGGUUCAAGUCCUCUCUUUCUGA